AUCCAACGCCAAACUCAGUUAGUUCAAGGCAAAAUCCUCACUUUAAAGGAAAUUUGGGGGAAAUGUCUCCAUUCCUGGCCCCACGGAGCCGCCGCAGAAUGGAAGGAAUUAUUUCAUAAUUCUCAUUUUCCUGCGUUUUUCCCCCUUUCCUCCUCCUCUUCCCAGAGGAACGCGAGCGGAAGAUCACCAAACUUGCUGCUGAAAUCCGAAGAUUCACGGCGCUGCUGGCCGAGCGCGACUCCGGGCUCCGGAAGCUCCAAGCAGAGCUCGCCAAGUGCGACGCCACCAUCCGUGAGUUCCACUGGCACCGGGGGAGCGCUGGGAUCCUCGGAAUUUUGGGGCAAAAUCCCCCAGUUCCAGAAAUCCCCCAGUUCCAGAGAUUUUGGGGGGAAAUCCCUCAAUUCCACAGAUUUUUUGGGGGAAAUUCCUCAGUCCCACAGAUUUUGGGGGGGAAAUCCCUCAAUUCCAGAGAAUUCUGGGCAAAAUCCCUCAGUCCCGCAGAUUUUGGGGAGAAAUCCCUCAAUUCCACUGAAUUUUGGGCGAAAAUCCUUCAAUUCCACUGAAUUUGGGGGGAAAUCCCUCAAUUCCACAGAUUUUGGGGGGAAAUCCCUCAAAUCCAGAGAUUUUGGGGGGAAAUCCCUCAGUUCCAGAGAAUUUGGGGGGAAAUCCCUCAAAUCCACAGAUUUUUGGGGGAAAUCCACCAGGAUUGAGGGCUGGGGGGGGCUGAGCCUGAAUUUGGGGGGAAAAAAGGGAAAAGGAAGAGGAGGAAAGGCCCUGGGGAGAGCCAGGAGCCCCAAUUUGGGGGGAAUUAACGGAAUUUGGUGA
rnacentral:lncRNA from 1 species